CUACGGAACUCUCUGGAUGCACUUUCCGGCUAUUUACUACUCCGGGUGUUACUCCUCAUCUGUUUCCGAAGAUG
rnacentral:snoRNA from 1 species